rnacentral:misc_RNA from 1 species
AAGUCGUAACAAGGUUUCCGUAGGUGAACCUGCGGAAGGAUCAUUAUCACGUAUCCACGUUAUAAACCAAACGCGAACUGUUCUCACACCUUUGGGUUAUGGUCGCUGUCAUGAAUUUAUGGGUCUAUUGUAUGGUUAUAGACUCUCAUGGCAAUUAAGACUGUUUCUCCGAAGCGUAUUAAUCAUACUUUUAACAAUUAACCACUUGAACACACUAUAAAUUUCUUUGUUUGAACUGAUUUGUUUCUUACUCGUUGACCCAAAAAAUCAAUGAGAAGAAAUCGAAUACGAAACAAAAAA